GGGCGAAUGGUCUAGGGGUAUGAUACUCCCUUCGCAUAUUUGAAUCUUCAGAAUAGCCUGGGAGGGGUCCGGGGUUCAAUUCCCCGUUCGUCCA